GUGAGUGGAGGCUGGCAAGGUCUGGACCCUGGGGCAAGAGAGCCCUUAACUUCUCCCACCUCUCUCAGAUCAGACACCCUCCCCCUCUCUGAUGGGAUGCUGAAAUUACUUACAGUCUGGUUGCAAAGCCCCAGAACUUGAGUUUCUAGAAGGAAGAAGUCUUUCUUUGGCUACUAAAGCUUAAUGAGGACCAGAUGGAGAAAGACUUUCAGUAGUCUAUUGAAGUGGAUAUUGCCUGACAGUUGAGACAUGUCAGGAAACAUGCAGCACUGGCUUCUGAAAAGGGAUCACCAGCACUUGGCAUUUGUGAAACUAAGAAGAGUCCUUUAAACAAUGUAUCACUGAUAGACUGUCAGGGUCUCAAAAUUCAGUCCCAGGCCAGAUACCUGUUUUGCAUCCUAGAGUAGGAAUUUACUAAUUGUAAACUGAAAAAGUUUUGCCCUACUGAGUGUGGUGCAGUUUGUACAAGCACACUUUGUUUUGAAGUGGAUUAUCUAAUUCCCCUGUCUUUGCAUCUGCUCUUUUGAGAGUCCUCAUCUCAAAUUUCUGUCUCUAUAUCUGGAAUGUCUCAAAGACCAAAUAAAAACCCUGUGGUAGGGAUUAUCAGAUUGUUCCAACCAUUACCUGCCUCUUUCCAUUAUCCAGCUGCUCUUCUGUAGUCAGGCCCCAAAGUCCCUGGUGGCAUCAAUCCUUGCUGCCUACAACAGCAAAGAAUGGGGCGCAGACAUAUCAGAAAGAGAGCCACACUGAACCUUCUCAGGUAUAGAUUCACAAGUUUUUUCUUCAGCAUUGUACAUACAAAAUGGAUGCAAAUUUGUAGUUUGGGAAUAUUAAUUCAUAAUUAGUGUCCCUAGCAUUCAGGAAACAGGGCUUUUACAUCUAAAUCAGUCCAGUUUAUGGUAAAGGACAGGUGAUAUAGUAAUAGCAUAGUAUAGUAUAGUAUAGUAUAGUAUAGUAUAGUAUAGUAUAGAUGGCGAUCAUGUCUACAUGGAACACUUUAUGUGUCAUUGAAAAUCAUAGAAUUAAUUGAGUUAAAAAUUGCAUAUAUUUGAAAUAUUUGAAGAGGAACUUUAAUAAAGAUGAUAAGAAAUUUGGUAAGGCAGUUAUCAUAUUUUCAUAUAAGAAUGGCCUAAAUAUUCAUCAUAUUAAGCAUUAGCCUUCAAUAAUCUUGCAUUUCCAUUUACUAUAUAAGCUUUUUUGAUACAGUUCAUGUUUUUAUUCAUUAUUGCAAAGUCUACUUGUCAACAGAAAAGCACAAAUUAUCCACAUCAAAUGCAUGUCAAAAUGGUACUUUGAUUUAUGACAGAAGCAGUCCCUUGUAAAGCCAUGGUGGGUUGUGGCAUUUCUACUCUAUUGUGGCAGAUACUGUUGUGUACUUGGCCAACAGAGAAUCUCCCACCUCUUUGUUCCAUCUGAAUCUGUAGCCUCUGGUUUUACAAGGGGUACCCACCUUCUCAUCAGCAGCAACCUUAGGAAGUGACUGUUGCUUAUUCUAAGCAAUUUUAAAAAUAGACCUCUGUAGCAGUGCCUAAUACAGUAAUAGACAGUUCAAGCAAUAAUACAGUAAGAGACAGUUCAAGCAACACUUGCUUAUAACUGUAUUUAGAGCUGAGGAAAGGGGUUGCAAUGGUUUUCUUUUGUGAUCAAAAGAAAAACUAUCUUUAGGUGCUAAUUUGUGAGAUUUGAAAAGUACAGUUGCUAUUGAGCAAAGACAAGGGACAGACUAAAGAAUGACCUCCUUACCUGUUGAACAAAAGAAUAAAUAAUGUCUGUCCCUCCCUGUUUCUGACCAAUCACUCCAUUUUCUUGUUAUGUGAGAUAACAAAUGCAUGUUUAAGCCAAACUGGCUUGGCUUGAGUAUUGGCUACUUACAGCCUAAAGCACUGGAAUUCACAUGAUUCUGCAAAGAUGAUUUUCCUUUGCUAGUGUUCUGUUCCUCAUGCUGCAACUAUCCAUGUAUGUGGAAAGUAAGGAAUUAUCUUAAAAUGUGUGCUAACCUACCUCUGAAUUUCCAAGUGAGUACACUGUUGUAGAGGUGCCAGUUACUACAUACUACCAUAACCUCACAUCUAAUCUAUCAAGACAGCCUUACAUCUCUUCUCCUGGAGAUGUGUAAUGCUGCAUUUCUUGUGUUUAGUACUUUAAGAAAUAGAACUUGUAUAGAUGUAUU
rnacentral:lncRNA from 1 species